UCUCUCUCCUCUGUCGUCCGUUCCGUCGAUUCUCAUUUUCACUCUCUCUAUCAUUGGUUUCUAAUUUCUAUGACUUUUACUUUGGCAACUUUUGAUUUUCCAGUACCUUAAGUUAGUGGAAGUUCUACGAUGACAGAAAAAUGAUAUGCUUUAGAGUGAAAUGUCUCUCAAAGGAAACGACCGAGAUCCACGAAAGGUCGAAGUCGAAGCUAUUUCAAAGCAGAGAGUUUCAGGUUCCACUGACGAAAAUAUUUUCGUAUUAGAUUCGAUAAAUCCGCUAGGCAUGUCGACUUCUUCACCAUUGAAGGCUAAGCGAGUUGAAAACAAACCGUCUCUGAAUUCAUCAGAGAGAAAAAAAAAACAAUUUGUCCAAAGAGGAUACAUAUUCAACUCCUCCCUCUGUUUAUUCUU